AGUGUUACAAACACCAUCCCUAGGGUGCCUUUAUACAUAUCAAAAGCCAUGCCGAUGAUAACAGUUAUGAACCCCUCGUGAAAGUCAAUCAAAAUAGAACUUUAUGCCUUUAAGAAAGUAUAGGUACCAAUACUGAUUAUUUAAUGAUUAGCCUUGGAGGCCUCCUUCUCGUGAUAGACAAGAGCAUCAAAGAAGCUUGGUUCUUGUUCCAUUGGAGUACCACGUGGACAACUUUUUGGAGGUCCUGUUGGAUUUCUAUGUCGGGUGUACCAUGUACGCCUCCUUCCCCUCCAACGGGCUAAUCCUUGCACGUGUUGACGCAGUGACUGGAGGUAGAAGAAGAAGUAAAGAUAAAACACACUGGACACAGGUGUUUCCGACGCUACAACGCCACGCGUAAGGAGCGGUUAAUCUUUCCUGCAGCUCGAACUGCUAGCCCCAUGUUACUGUCAUUCAUGGCUAUGAGAUUUAUACCCAGCUGGCGCACGUACUACUCAGCCCACCCCGCUCCGUUACGAUCCCACGAUCUACAUGUCCGGUCCCCGCGCGCUCCCACGACACGCACAUCACGACUGUUACAAGAAACCGCUGACCAAGCCAGCUAGCUAACCAAUACGGCUGCACACCACGCCACACAUACAUGCACACACAUGCACCCCACACACGCACACAUGGACGCCACGCUGUCGUGACCCAACCCGCGGACCCGACCUAACGCACCGAUGACGGUCGCACCUGUCACCAAAUCACCCCCUAAGUCGUGACCUAGAGGAGUAUCAGUCCGACAUCGUCGUCGAUGUCGCCUUGAACGCCCCCGCCCGAUGAUGUGAC
rnacentral:lncRNA from 1 species